rnacentral:rRNA from 1 species
AGCAGCCGCGGUAAUUCCAGCUCCAAUAGCGUAUAUUAAAGUUGUUGCAGUUAAAAAGCUCGUAGUUGAAUUUCGGGAUCAGUAGGUCGGUCGUGCCACUGGUAUGAACUGGUCUCACUGGUUCCUCCCUCUUGACGAACUGCAAUGCUAUUAAUUUAGUGUAGUAGGAAAUCAGGACUGUUACUUUGAAAAAAUUAGAGUGUUUAAAGCAGGCUUUAGCUUGAAUACAUUAGCAUGGAAUAAUGAAAUAGGACGUUCGAUCCUAUUUUGUUGGCUUCUAGGAUUGACGUAAUGAUUAAUAGGGACAGUUGGGGGCAUUAGUAUUCAAUUGUCAGAGGUGAAAUUCUUGGAUUUAUUGAAGACUAACUACUGCGAAAGCAUUUGCCAAGGAUGUUUUCAUUAAUCAAGAACGAAAGUUAGGGGAUCGAAGACGAUCAGAUACCGUCGUAGUCUUAACCAUAAACUAUGCCGACUAGGGAUCGGAUGAUGUUAAUUUUUAAUGACUCAUUC